GAUGAACGCUGGCGGCAUGCCUAAUACAUGCAAGUCGAGCGAAUGGAUUAAGAGCUUGCUCUUAUGAAGUUAGCGGCGGACGGGUGAGUAACACGUGGGUAACCUGCCCAUAAGACUGGGAUAACUCCGGGAAACCGGGGCUAAUACCGGAUAACAUUUUGAACCGCAUGGUUCGAAAUUGAAAGGCGGCUUCGGCUGUCACUUAUGGAUGGACCCGCGUCGCAUUAGCUAGUUGGUGAGGUAACGGCUCACCAAGGCAACGAUGCGUAGCCGAGCUGAGGGGGUGAUCGGCCACACUGGGACUGAGACACGGCCCAGACUCCUACGGGAGGCAGCAGUAGGGAAUCUUCCGCAAUGGACGAAAGUCUGACGGAGCAACGCCGCGUGAGUGAUGAAGGCUUUCGGGUCGUAAAACUCUGUUGUUAGGGAAGAACAAGUGCUAGUUGAAUAAGCUGGCACCUUGACGGUACCUAACCAGAAAGCCACGGCUAACUACGAGCCAGCAGCCGCGGUAA
rnacentral:rRNA from 1 species